rnacentral:rRNA from 1 species
GACAGAGGGUGCAAACGUUGUUCGGAAUUACUGGGCGUAAAGCGCGUGUAGGCUGCUCAGAAAGUCGGAUGUGAAAGCCCUGGGCUUAACCCAGGAAGUGCAUUCGAAACUUCUGAGCUUGAGUUCUGGAGAGGAAGGCGGAAUUCUCGGUGUAGAGGUGAAAUUCGUAGAUAUCGAGAGGAACACCGGUGGCGAAGGCGGCCUUCUGGACAGUGACUGACGCUGAGACGCGAAAGCGUGGGGAGCAAACAGG